rnacentral:rRNA from 1 species
AGCGAACGCUGGCGGCAUGCCUAACACAUGCAAGUCGAACGAUAUCUUCGGGUCUAGUGGCGCACGGGUGCGUAACGCGUGGGAAUCUGCCCUUUGGUUCGGAAUAACAGUUGGAAACGACUGCUAAUACCGGAUGAUGACGAAAGUCCAAAGAUUUAUCGCCAGAGGAUGAGCCCGCGUAGGAUUAGCUAGUUAGUGUGGUAAAGGCGCACCAAGGCGACGAUCCUUAGCUGGUCUGAGAGGAUGAUCAGCCACACUGGGACUGAGACACGGCCCAGACUCCUACGGGAGGCAGCAGUGGGGAAUAUUGGACAAUGGGCGAAAGCCUGAUCCAGCAAUGCCGCGUGAGUGAUGAAGGCCUUAGGGUUGUAAAGCUCUUUUACCCGGGAUGAUAAUGACAGUACCGGGAGAAUAAGCUCCGGCUAACUCCGUGCCAGCCGCCGCCGUAA